rnacentral:rRNA from 1 species
GGAAUAUUGGUCAAUGGGCGGGAGCCUGAACCAGCCAAGCCGCGUGAAGGAGGAAGGCGCCAUGCGUCGUAAACUUCUUUUGUCGGGGAACAAAGGGCGCCACGCGUGGCGUUGUGAGUGUACCCGAAGAAUAAGCUCCGGCUAACUACGUGCCAGCAGCCGCGGUAAUACGUAGGGAGCAAGCGUUAUCCGGAAUUAUUGGGUGUAAAGGGUGCGUAGACGGGACAGCAAGUUAGUUGUGAAAGCCCUCGGCUUAACUGAGGAACUGCAACUAAAACUAUUGUUCUUGAGUGCAGGAGAGGAAAGCGGAAUUCCUAGUGUAGCGGUGAAAUGCGUAGAUAUUAGGAGGAACACCAGUGGCGAAGGCGGCUUUCUGGACUGUAACUGACGUUGAGGCACGAAAGUGUGGGGAGCAAACAGG